AAGUCGUAACAAGGUCUCCGUAGGUGAACCUGCGGAGGGAUCAUUAACACGUUUUAAAACACGUUUUAACACCCACACCAACCAACCACGUGAACUAUUUAACAAUCCUGGAAAAGAGAGAAUUCUGUCUAUAUUCACACUAAUGAUGAGCUCUCGCAAGAGAGCGGUGUGUGUAGACUAGCAUUGCAGGCAACUGACUUUGUACAGAGCUUUCUUUUCUGGGCUAAAUGCCUCUCUCAUCACUGGGGCGAAAACACCACUUUCACUACUUCUAUAACCAUUGACUGUAUCUUUUUUUAAUUUUCUGCGCAAGCAGUGAAUUGAAAAAAUCAAUAAUCAAAUAUCUAAGCACAACUCUUAGCAACGGAUAUCUUGGUUCUC
rnacentral:misc_RNA from 1 species